rnacentral:rRNA from 1 species
GAUGAACGCUGACAGAAUGCUUAACACAUGCAAGUCUUUGGCGAAGCUGUGCUUGCACAGCCUAGCCAAGGCGGACGGGUGAGUAACGCGUAAGGAACUUGCCCUGCAGUCAGGGAUAACAGACGGAAACGACUGAUAAGACCUGGUAAAGUCAGGCGGACUCAUGUCCAGCCUGAUGAAAAGAGAUGCUGCAGGAGAGCCUUGCGUCCUAUUAGCUUGUUGGUGGGGUAACGGCCCACCAAGGCGAUGAUAGGUAGCCGGCCUGGGAGGGUGGACGGCCACAAGGGGACUGAGAUACGGCCCUUACUCCUACGGGAGGCAGCAGUGGGGAAUAUUGGACAAUGGGGGCAACCCUGCUACAGCAAUUCUGUGUGCACGAUGAAGGUUUUCGGAUUGUAAAGUGCUUUCAGCAGGGAAGAAAAAAAUGACGGUACCUGCAGAAGAAGCGACGGCUAAAUACGUG